rnacentral:rRNA from 1 species
GAUGAACGCUGGCGGCGUGCCUAAUACAUGCAAGUCGAGCGAACGGACGAGAAGCUUGCUUCUCUGAUGUUAGCGGCGGACGGGUGAGUAACACGUGGAUAACCUACCUAUAAGACUGGGAUAACUUCGGGAAACCGGAGCUAAUACCGGAUGAUAUUUUGAACCGCAUGGUUCAAAAGUGAAAGACGGUCUUGCUGUCACUUAUAGAUGGAUCCGCGCUGCAUUAGCUAGUUGGUAAGGUAACGGCUUUCCAAGGCAACGAUGCAUAGCCGACCUGAGAGGGUGAUCGGCCACACUGGAACUGAGACACGGUCCAGACUCCUACGGGAGGCAGCAGUAGGGAAUCUUCCGCAAUGGGCGAAGGCCUGACGGAGCAACGCCGCGUGAGUGAUGAAGGUCUUCGGAUCGUAAAACUCUGUUAUUAGGGAAGAACAUAUGUGUAAGUAACUGUGCACAUCUUGACGGUACCUAAUCAGAAAGCCACGGCUAACUACGUG